rnacentral:pre_miRNA from 1 species
AAUGGAUCUGUUGGGUCGUAUGGCAAUUCCUGUUUAACUUUUAGAGCAUUCGCCAAAUUGUUUUUCACUGUGGCUGCACCAUUUUACAUUCCCACUAGCACU